GAUGAACGCUGGCGGCGUGCCUAAUACAUGCAAGUCGAGCGAACGGACGAGAAGCUUGCUUCUCUGAUGUUAGCGGCGGACGGGUGAGUAACACGUGGAUAACCUACCUAUAAGACUUGGAUAACUUCGGGAAACCGGAGCUAAUACCGGAUAAUAUUUUGAACCGCAUGGUUCAAAAGUGAAAGACGGUCUUGCUGUCACUUAUAGAUGUAUCCGCGCUGCAUUAGCUAGUUGGUAAGGUAACGGCUUACCAAGGCAACGAUGCAUAGCCGACCUGAGAGGGUGAUCGGCCACACUGGAACUGAGACACGGUCAAGACUCCUACGGGAGGCAGCAGUAGGGAAUCUUCCGCAAUGGGCGAAAGCCUGACGGAGCAACGCCGAGUGAGUGAUGAAGGUCUUCGGAUCGUAAAACUCUGUUAUUAGGGAAGAACAUAUGUGUAAGUAAAUGUGCACAUCUUGACGGUACCUAAUCAGAAAGCCACGGCUAACUACGUG
rnacentral:rRNA from 1 species